UGCCAGCAGCCGCUGUAAUCCUGAGUGUCCAAUCGUUAUCCGGAAUCAUUGGGUUUAAAGGGUGCGCAGGCGGUUUAAUAAGUCAGUGGUGAAAUCUCGAGGCUCAACCUCGAAACUGCCAUUGAUACUGUUAAACUUGAGUUCAGUUGGAGUAGGCGGAAUGUGUAGUGUAGCGGUGAAAUGCUUAGAUAUUACACAGAACACCGAUAGCGAAGGCAGCUUACUAAACUGAUACUGACGCUGAGGCACGAAAGCGUGGGGAGCGAACAGGAUUAGAUA
rnacentral:rRNA from 1 species